GGAAUACUGUGUGCUCAGGGCCGUCGUGUAGCUCGUGCAGCUCGUGCAGCUCGUGCAACUCUGUUCAGUUUCCCUAACCAGCAGCAGAAGCAGAAACGGGGGUUUGGAUGGAGUCAUUAAUGUCGUACAGUGUGCAGGGUAGGUUGAGUAGAAGCUGCACGUAGGCACUCCUGGGAAGCUGGCGCCCCCUCCCACACCUUCUGCCUUGUGCUGUCAGCCCUCCUGAGUCGAUACAAACCGUAGCCUGGGGCCCGGCCUGGACUCCCCACUGAGGUUCUGGACCACCGCUGGUAGAUCAAAGACCUGCGGAGAACAAUGGAGAGCCUUAUUUAGCCGGCCGUGGUUCACUUUGUCCGGAUGCACCGCCACACCUGCCCACGCUGUCAAUCACGCUCAGCCAUUUCAUGCUGGUUUUAUCUCCCUGUGGUUCCUGUCGUGCUUCCUGUGGAAAAAAGGAGCCUGUCUGCAGCGUGUACACAGCUGGUUGAAAGACAAGACCUCCAGAUUACGCCGCGUCGGCCCCGCCAGACUCGCUGUGGGCUACACACCAGGUGAACACAAUGUUACUGCUGGUGCAGCGGCAGGUCUGCUGCAGGGA
rnacentral:lncRNA from 1 species